rnacentral:rRNA from 1 species
UACGUAGGGUGCGAGCGUUAAUCGGAAUUACUGGGCGUAAAGCGUGCGCAGGCGGUUCGUUGUGUCGGCGGUGAAAGCCCCGGGCUUAACCUGGGAAUGGCCGUUGAAACUGGCGAACUGGAGUGUGGCAGAGGGGGGUGGAAUUCCGCGUGUAGCAGUGAAAUGCGUAGAGAUGCGGCGGAACACCGAUGGCGAAGCAGCCCCCUGGGCUGAGAUUGACGCUCAGGCACGAAAGCGUGGG